ensembl:processed_transcript si:dkey-23i12.5 si:dkey-23i12.5
CAACGAUGACUACUGCGACUCGCGUGGCAUCAUGGGAAGGACUGCAGUGGACCUUUACCCCACAACUUGUGUCCUUGAGCAGAAUAAGAUGCUACCAGAACUUGCUGAUUAACUGCAGUCAUCUUGAGCAGGUACCCUCCAAAGAAAUACGUGCAUGUUGAGAAUACUCAUUAUAUAUUACAUCAAUUUAACUCCUCUGCACAAGCAUAUUGAAACCCUCCAAGAAGAAAUUACGAUUUAGAAAGAUCUCGAUGAAAAGUGUUAUUCUGCAUAGCAGUCUCAAUACACUUCAAUACCACCCUGGGUUUAGCAGUCAGAAUGAGCCCUGGACAUUCUUACUCAACUUUUCUACAGUUAAUUUACUGCCCACAGUGUUGGGGAAGUUACUUUUUUGAAUAACCCAUUGCAAUUUUUACUUACUCACCUCAAAGUAAUUGGUUGCGUUAUUAAUGGAAAGUAAUGUGAUGCAUUUACAUGGAGUUUUCAAACCAGCCAGAGGCUUUAUUUCUUUUGGAACUUGAAGCGUUUUAUUUAUACUUGUGUUUUUGUCUUGAUUCAGUAAAAUCGCUGUCCAAUUGAGACCAUAAUCCCCUUUAUCCCACAUGUAAAAAAUGAGAACUUUUACAGAAAUGUAAGGCUCAGUCAUCCUUCUGUCUGUACCUGCAGGAGCUCAUUCUCGCAUUGUGAUUUUCAAUGCCAUUACACUAAUUCAGUUUAAGAAUUAAUAUUUAAUUCCACUAUUGAGUAAUAUAACUUUACUCGUUACUUGGGUAAAGUAGUAU